GGGGUUGUGGCUCAGUGGUGGAGCGCUCUCCUUGCACGUGUGAGGCACUGGGUUCAAUUCUCAGCACCG
rnacentral:tRNA from 1 species